rnacentral:tRNA from 2 species
GGAGGGUUCGCAUAGUGGUCUAGUGCGCCGCCUUGGAAAGGCGGUAAGGGGGAAACUCCUUCGAGGGUUCAAAUCCCUCACCCUCCGCAA